rfam:Dipodomys ordii contig_20293, whole genome shotgun sequence.
GGGAAAGUGGCUCAGUGGUAGAGUGCUUGCCUUGCAUGCAUGAGACCCCGAGUUCAAUUCCUCAGCACCA